CUGCUUGGCAGCAUGCAUACUAAAAUUGGAACAAUACAGAGAAGAUUAACACGGCCCCUACACAAGGAUAACAUGCAAAUUUUUCCCAUAUUUUU
ensembl:snRNA U6 U6 spliceosomal RNA